rnacentral:rRNA from 1 species
AUUGAACGCUGGCGGCAGGCCUAACACAUGCAAGUCGAGCGGUAGAGAGGUGCUUGCAUCUCUUGAGAGCGGCGGACGGGUGAGUAAUGCCUAGGAAUCUGCCUAGUGGUGGGGGAUAACGUUCGGAAACGGACGCUAAUACCGCAUACGUCCUACGGGAGAAAGCGGGGGGAUCUUCGGACCUCGCGCCAUUAGAUGAGCCUAGGUCGGAUUAGCUAGUUGGUGAGGUAAUGGCUCACCAAGGCGACGAUCCGUAACUGGUCUGAGAGGAUGAUCAGUCACACUGGAACUGAGACACGGUCCAGACUCCUACGGGAGGCAGCAGUGGGGAAUAUUGGACAAUGGGCGAAAGCCUGAUCCAGCCAUGCCGCGUGUGUGAGGAAGGUCUUCGGAUUGUAAAGCACUUUAAGUUGGGUAGG